rnacentral:rRNA from 1 species
UACGUAGGGACCAAGCGUUGUUCGGAUUUACUGGGCGUAAAGGGCGCGUAGGCGGCGUGGUAAGUCACUUGUGAAAUCUCCGGGCUUAACUCGGAACGGUCAGCUGAUACUGCUUUGCUAGAGUGCAGAAGGGGCAAUCGGAAUUCUCGGUGUAGCGGUGAAAUGCGUAGAUAUCGAGAGGAACACCUGCGGCGAAGGCGGGUUGCUGGGCUGACACUGACGCUGAGGCGCGAAAGCUAGGGGAGCGAACGGG